UACGAAGGGGGCUAGCGUUGCUCGGAAUGACUGGGCGUAAAGGGCGCGUAGGCGGAUGGUACAGUCAGAUGUGAAAUUCCUAGGCUUAACCUGGGGGCUGCAUUUGAUACGUGUUGUCUAGAGUGAGGAAGAGGGUCGUGGAAUUCCCAGUGUAGAGGUGAAAUUCGUAGAUAUUGGGAAGAACACCGGUGGCGAAGGCGGCGACCUGGUCCUUUACUGACGCUGAGGCGCGAAAGCGUGGGGAGCAAACAGG
rnacentral:rRNA from 1 species